CUCUGGGUGUGCUUUACGGACAAGUGCACAGCAAUGAUGCACAGAGCAUAGCAACCACCCUGGGAGGGCCUAUGGACCAUAACAACCAGUUGGCCAAUCAACACAGGGCAAACCCUCCAAGCCUGGAGGCACACCAAUCCUGAGCCUGUGCAUACCUCUAGACACUCCCCUUAUGCUGCCCUAUAAGAUCUCUAUGCAGUGGCUUCGAAGCGUCUUUUCUAGCCAUCCUUCAUGGUGGAUGAAUGAAAGGCCCGAGCUAACAUGGGGUUAGCUCGUUAAACAAUUGCAAUAAAGCCUCGUGCUUUUUGCAUCAAGUUUCUGCCUCUGCAUGGUGAUUGGGGUGGCCGCGGUCAUGGGCUGAGAUCCUGGGGGCCUGAGCCUCUGGAGGUCUUUCAUUUGGGGGCUCGUCCUAGAUUUGAGACCACCCGUCACCUGAGUGGAGUCGAUCUUGGAGAUGACAUUUCAGAAUGGCUGUCCUCAAGAAGUGUGAUGACCAGUGUUGGAGCAGAUUUGGAGAAGGGGAACCUUAUUCAUUGCUGGUGAAGGUGUGCAUUAAUAUCGUCAAUGAAGUCAAUUUGGAGGCCCUUAAAACAAUUCAAAGUAGAGCUGCCAUAUGACCCAGUUAUGCCACUCCUGGGAAUGUACCCAGAGAAUUCCGUAUCCUACCACAGAGGAGUUAAUGUUCCGUUCAGGGUGGCACGGCAAACAGUGUCCUUUUAAUGAGACCCACACUGUCCCGAGGGAAAACAGAGCACAGCACAGCACACCCUGAAGCCCGUCUACCCUUUUCGCGGCCCUGGGCAUCAAGCUCAAAUCCCCCCUCCCGUCUGGAUCCUACAGCCAAUAAGCAAGCCCCAUUCUCUGAGCACCAGGCACCCCAGCCCAAACUCCUGCCACAUUUAGCCACUUAAAGUGACCCUGCAUUCCACGGACAGCUCAGAAGAGAAAAGGCCGUUAUCCCGUGUCUCAUAAUUGGUGCUCCUGGAAGGAAAACUUGGAAAUGGAGGAAAUGCUUAUCUACGGGGAUGUAAAUUGUACUUCAUUAAGAAAGAUUCGGGAAAGUGAAUUCCAGGCCAUCAACACUGUGCACCAGGGAUAGGGUGGGGACAAGGUGAUCAGCAACAACAUGGGUAGCUGGAGCGGUCAUCUAAUUAUUCUUUAUCAAUAAAAACCCGG
rnacentral:lncRNA from 1 species